rnacentral:rRNA from 1 species
CCCCUAGAUGUUCUGGGCCGCACGCGCGCUACACUGAACAGUUCAACAAGUCUUAACCUUGGCCGAUAGGUCUGGGUAAUCUUUGAACGCUGUUCGUGAUUGGGAUGGACCUUUGCAAUUAUGGGUCUUCAACGAGGAAUUCCUAGUAAACGCAAGUCAUCAGCUUGCAUUGAUUACGUCCCUGCCCUUUGUACACACCGCCCGUCGCACCUACCGAUUGAAUGGUCCGGUGAAAUCUCGGGACGGCGGCUCGGUCGCUUGCGUCCGACUGCUGAAACUUGAUUAAACCAUAUCAUUUAGAGGAAGGUGAANUCGUANCA